UGAAAGUCUAAGUGUAAGUUGCUCUGGAUAAGAGCAUCUGCUAAAUUACAAAAA
rfam:Salmo salar isolate Sally breed double haploid chromosome ssa12, whole genome shotgun sequence.